rnacentral:rRNA from 1 species
ACACCUCGAUGUCGGCUCAUCACAUCCUGGGGCUGAAGUAGGUCCCAAGGGUAUGGCUGUUCGCCAUUUAAAGUGGUACGCGAGCUGGGUUUAGAACGUCGUGAGACAGUUCGGUCCCUAUCUGCCGUGGGCGCUGGAGAAUUGAGGGGGGCUGCUCCUAGUACGAGAGGACCGGAGUGGACGCAUCACUGGUGUUCGGGUUGUCAUGCCAAUGGCACUGCCCGGUAGCUAAAUGCGGAAGAGAUAAGUGCUGAAAGCAUCUAAGCACGAAACUUGCCCCGAGAUGAGUUCUCCCUGAGACYUURAGUCUCCUGAAGGAACGUURAAGACGAYGACGUUGAUAGGUCGGGUGUGUAAGCGCAGCGAUGCGUUGAGCUAACCGAUACUAAUGAACCGUGAGGCUUAACCUU